rnacentral:rRNA from 1 species
UACGGGGGGGGCAAGCGUUGUUCGGAAUUACUGGGCGUAAAGGGCGCGUAGGCGGCCUUCUAAGUCAGACGUGAAAUCCCUCGGCUCAACCGAGGAACUGCGUCUGAUACUGGAAGGCUGGAAUCCGGGAGAGGGAUGUGGAAUUCCAGGUGUAGCGGUGAAAUGCGUAGAUAUCUGGAGGAACACCGGUGGCGAAGGCGGCAUCCUGGACCGGUAUUGACGCUGAGGCGCGAAAGCUAGGGGAGCAAACGGG